rnacentral:snRNA from 12 species
GGUUGGGCGUCACGGUCGAUCAUGAAGGGUCGUGGCCUAGAUCAUUUGAUCUACUAAUCUUCUCUAGUGGGAGAUUGGGCGUCCUAAUUUAUGGGAGAGGGGCACACGUCCGCGCGGCCCCUGC